rnacentral:rRNA from 1 species
UGGGGAAUAUUGCACAAUGGGCGCAAGCCUGAUGCAGCCAUGCCGCGUGUGUGAAGAAGGCCUUCGGGUUGUAAAGCACUUUCAGCGAGGAGGAAGGUGGUGAGCUUAAUACGCUCAUCAAUUGACGUUACUCGCAGAAGAAGCACCGGCUAACUCCGUGCCAGCAGCCGCGGUAAUACGGAGGGUGCAAGCGUUAAUCGGAAUUACUGGGCGUAAAGCGCACGCAGGCGGUUUGUUAAGUCAGAUGUGAAAUUCCCCGGGCUCAACCUGGGAACUGCAUUUGAAACUGGCAAGCUAGAGUCUCGUAGAGGGGGGUAGAAUUCCAGGUGUAGCGGUGAAAUGCGUAGAGAUCUGGAGGAAUACCGGUGGCGAAGGCGGCCCCCUGGACGAAGACUGACGCUCAGGUGCGAAAGCGUGGGGCAGCAAACAGGAUUAGAUACCCUGGUAGUCCACGCUGUAAACGAUGUCGAUUUUGGAGGUUGUGCCCUUGAGGCGUGGCUUCCGGAGCUAACGCGUUAAAUCGACCGCCUGGGGAGUACGGCCGCAAGGUUAAAACUUAAAUGAAUUG